GAACGCUGGCGGCGUGGAUUAGGCAUGCAAGUCGAACGGUAUCAUCCUUUCGGGGGUGAGAGAGUGGCGAACUGGUGAGUAACACGUAGGUUAUCUACCCUCAAGACGGGGACAACCCAGGGGAAACUUGGGCUAAUACCGGAUGUGAGCAACUUUUAGUUGUUUGAAAGGUGGCGUAAGCUGUCGCUUGGGGAUGAGCCUGCGUCCUAUUAGUUAGUUGGUGAGGUAACGGCUCACCUAGGCAAUGAUAGGUAGGCGGCCUUAACGGGUGGUCGCCCACACUGGGAUUGAGAUACGGCCCAGACUCCUACGGGAGGCAGCAGUCGAGAAUAGUCUACAAUGGUCGGAAGACUGAUAGUGCGACGCCGCGUGAACGAUGAAUCCCUUCGGGGUGUAAAGUUCUUUUAUAUGUGAGCAGUGCUUUCUAUGUGAACAGCAUGGGGAGAGAGAUAUUAGCAUAUGAAUAAGCAACGGCUAACUCCGUG
rnacentral:rRNA from 1 species